rnacentral:rRNA from 1 species
GAUGAACGCUGGCGGCGUGCUUAACACAUGCAAGUCGAACGGAAAGGCCUGUACUUGUACAGGUACUCGAGUGGCGAACGGGUGAGUAACACGUGGGUGAUCUGCCUUGCACUGUGGGAUAAGCCCGGGAAACUGGGUCUAAUACCAUAUAGGACCACUUCUUGGAUGUUGUGGUGGAAAGCUUUUGCGGUGUGGGAUGAGCCUGCGGCCUAUCAGCUUGUUGGUGGGGUAAUGGCCUACCAAGGCGGCGACGAGUAUCCGGCCUGAGAGGGUGUACGGACACAUUGGGACUGAGAUACGGCCCAGAGUCCUACGGGAGGCAGCAGUGGGGAAUAUUGCACAAUGGGCGCAAGCCUGAUGCAGCGACGCCGCGUGGGGGAUGACGGCCUUCGGGUUGUAAACUCCUUUCGCUAUCGACGAAGCCACCUUGGGUGGUGACGGUAGGUAGAUAAGAAGCACCGGCUAACUACGUGCCAGCAGCCGCCGUAA